AAAUUCACAUCAAUUGGCAUUGAAUUGUCAUGGUAAAUAAAAUCCACAAGUUGAGAAAGCAAUGGUGUGACACACAUUGUCACACCUACAUUAAACAGAUCAUAUCUCAUCAACCAGAAAUGAGAAAAAUGCAAACUCUAUACCAAAAUGUUCAUUAAGGUGUCUAUUUUAAGCAUGCAAAGUUGCAAUAGUGUUGGAUAAAAUCUCAUCAUUUCAUGAAGCUUUUAG
rnacentral:lncRNA from 1 species